AACUCUGACACAGGUGCUGCAUGGCUGUCGUCAGCUCGUGUCGUGAGAUGUUGGGUUAAGUCCCGUAACGAGCGCAACCCUUGUCCUUAGUUACCAGCACGUUAUGGUGGGCACUCUAAGGAGACUGCCGGUGACAAACCGGAGGAAGGUGGGGGAUGACGUCAAGUCAUCAUGGCCCUUACGGCCUGGGCUACACACGUGCUGCAAUGGUCGGUACAAGGGGUUGCCAAGCCGCGAGGUGGAGCUAAUCCCAUAAAACCGAUCGUAGUCCGGAUCGCAGUCUGCAACUCGACUGCGUGAAGUCGGAAUCGCUAGUAAUCGUGAAUCAGAAUGUCACGGUGAAUACGUUCCCGGGCCUU
rnacentral:rRNA from 1 species